rnacentral:rRNA from 1 species
UACGUAGGGGGCUAGCGUUGUCCGGAUUUAUUGGGCGUAAAGAGCUCGUAGGUGGUUCGGUAAGUCGGAUGUGAAAUCUCCACGCUCAACGUGGAGGGGCCGUUCGAUACUGUCGUGACUCGAGUCCGGUAGGGGAGUGUGGAAUUCCCGGUGUAGCGGUGAAAUGCGCAGAGAUCGGGAGGAACACCCGUAGCGAAGGCGGCACUCUGGGCCGGUACUGACGCUGAGGAGCGAAAGCGUGGGGAGCAAACAGG